GGUUAAGUGUGUGCAUGUUGACUAUGCAAACAAUGAGGAAUUAAAAGAAAUGCAGUCAACCUUUCCUCAACUACCAGAAACAAAGGUAAACAAAUGAGUUUGCACAAGUGGUGUGAUCCACAAUCCCUUUUCCUCCAGACCCAGUCUGUCCCUAAUCAGCAAACAUAUGGUAGGCAGAAGAGAAACCCACAUUUAAAGAGAAGGCAUUUUGGAAGUUAAAUUGUUUAUUGAACAAAUCAUGUAAGAGUAGCAGGAACACCAGGCCAAAUCAAAAUCAUAACCGUACAACCUAAGUGUCAGCAAUAGUGGCCAAAUCAGAGGUACAUUUUUGUCGUAUGGUGAAGGAGUUCCUCAUUUCAAACAAGCGCAUUAGUUUGCAUAAUUCCUCACCUCAAUUACCUUUGCCCUUUUCUUCAAAUGGAGGCACAGUAACAGGAGAAAGACGAUUAAGGAGUUGGGCAAACCAAAUUAUGAUCUCCCUAUCUAGCUUGUUGAGGGGUCGGGCCGUCUGUGCAAGGCCGGCCGCUUCUGCAGAGGUAUGUUUGGCAGUUGCUUCAGCAGAGGCGCGGGGGCCGGCGGCCGCUACUGCAGAGGUAUGGCUGGCAGUUGCUUCAGCAGAUGCGCGGGGGCCUGCGGCCGCUUGUGCAGAGGUAUGGCUGGCAGUUGCUUCAGCUGAGGCGCGGGGGCCGACAGUGGCUUCAACAGAGGUAUGUUUGGCAGUUGCUUCAGCAGAGGCGCGGGGGCCAGCCGCUUGUGCAGAGGUAUGGCUGGCAGUUGCUUCAGCUGAGGCGCGGGGGCCAGCCGCUUCUGCAGAGGUAUGGCUGGCAGUUGCUUGAGCUGAGGCGCGGGGUUCGACGGCCGCUUCUGCAGAGGUAUGUUUGGCAGUUGCUUCAGCAGAGGCGCGGGGGCCAGCCGCUUCUGCAGAGGUAUGGCUGGCAGUUGCUUCAGCUGAGGCGCGGGGGCCUGUGGCCGCUUCUGCAGAGGUAUGGCUGGCAGUUGCUUCAGCUGAGGCGCGGGGGCCAGCCGCUUCUGCAGAGGUAUGGCUGGCAGUUGCUUCAGCUGAGGCGCGGGGGCCAGCCGCUUCUGCAGAGGCAUGGUUGGCAGUUGCGGCAUUUGGACCCUGCGUCACACUUGCCAGGCUAUUGUAGCCAGUAGCUUUAGCAUUUGGACCAGACACCACACUUGCUUGGGAUCCAGUUGGUUCAGGUCCAGUGCAGGCAGGAUGCCCAUAAGCGUCACCUAGGAAACAAAGAAAACAUUGUGGUAAAAUUCCAGCCUUAAGCCAUUGGAACUAGACUGUGAUUUAAAUUACUUUGAACCAAAACGCACCUUGAAGGGUAAAGCACGUUAUCCCUCCAAUUAGCAGGCAACAAAUCCAAGAAACACUAUAAAACAUUCAGACAGUUAAACAUAAAUAAACAGUAAACACUUUAAGACAAGGUAAACCAAUCAGAUGAAUACAUUGAAAAACUAACCUCAAAGAGAGUCCAAAAGUCACAGCCAUUUUAGUGAUCAAAACCACAACAGAAUUCAAGAACUAAUUCUCGACAGCCUGCCAGAAUAUCCCUGUUGCAAUGUCUAACAGCUGUUUUGGUUGCACCUCAUAAAGGAAUCCCAGACCCUUCUUACCUGAAUGGCUAAUUAUGUACAGGUGUCAACCAAUGAACUUAAUUUCAAUUGGUUGGCC
rnacentral:lncRNA from 1 species